AAGAUAUUAGUAAAGUAAUUACAUGACUUUGUCAAAGUCAAAUCAUAGAUUAAUUAUCUAUAUAUCUUA
rnacentral:tRNA from 4 species